UCGUAGACCUACUUGUCGUUUUUAUUUUUCCUUGAUUUUUCCGCUGGAAUUAUGUGAGGAAUUUCUUACUUUGUUCUCUCUCCGUGUUUCUUGUGACCUGUGACUUUGAAGGGCACUUCUACCAUCCUUCUUCGGAUUCGAGCACGUUAGGCAUCUCAAGAGUUGUUUUCUCAUGCUUUCUUGACUGUUCGAUUAUAAAUAUCCGUUUUUUCCUGUCUUUGUGUUUCCUCGUUUGCUAGAAUUUUGUUAUCUUGGUGUUGGUCGCGUUGCUUGAUGUUUCAAUAUGGAUUUUUUGUUUUGCAAGUGUAUAAAUUUUUGGGACGUAAGAUAUGAGAUAUUUGCAAUAUAUAGAGCACGGCAUUUCAUGUAAUGAAUAGAUUGUGUUCGAUAAUCGGUAGGGAUCUGCAAGAAUUAGCGCACAAGCAUGGCCAUGUGGUGCUUAGGCAGUCUAUAAGGCGGACGGAGAGGGAAAAUAGCAAAAGAAAGAAAGAAAAGCUAGGUUAUGAGGGACCUCGAGGGUGACCAUUUAGGUUGUCAGAUGCUCACUUGGUGUAGUCCUGCCUAGAUGGCUGUUACUGGGAGCCCAACGUUAAAAGUUCUGUGUUCCGUUGCUGAAUACAUGGAAGAAGUUUUGACAAAUCCUCAUUCAGUUUUCUACGUCAAUCAACAUGUAUUCAGUGCUGGGGGUGAUUUUAUUACCUCCCCAAAAGUGAACUAGAUGUUUGGAGAGAUGAUUGGUGUUUCGACUGUGCCUCUAGGAGUAGAUUGGACAGCUAGGAAACAUGAAUUUAAUUGAACUUGGUCCAGGACGUGGGAACCUUAUGGCUGAUCUUAUUCGUGUAAGGCAUCUUGUUCCCUCGUUGAAAUUCUGGUUUAGUUUUAGUAAGGCUGCAAAUGGGUCGGGUUGACCCGUGACCUAACCCGGUUAGAUCCGAUCCGACCCGUUUUAGAAGACCCGUGGGUCCAGGUCGGGUUCUAAAAUUGGACCCAUUCCAUUAUUAGGGUCGGGUCUAGGUUUACUGAAUCUCAACCCGACUCGGAUCCAACCGUUGUUUUUUGGGUCAAUUUUGGAUCAUUUACCCAAUGACCUGACCCGAUUCCAGAAUACCUAUUUGGGUCUGCAGGCCCACAGGUCAUAGCCGCAGCAGGGGAAUCCGGGUUACUGGGCCACUGGGCCACUCGUCGCUCACUCGCUCGCUCACUGGGCCACUAGCUACUUUAAGCCUUUAACACUUUAAGGUUUCACCGUUUCAGGUUUUCACUCUUUCAACCGGGGCUCGAGGCUCAUUUGACUUUUCCUUUUCAGACUUUCGGUUUCCAUUGCUGCCUCUCUCUCGAUCUCCCGAUUCUCCCCUAAGGCUAAGGCUAAGGCCAAGGAACGUUUGGAGCUCUUCCUUUCUGGAUUGAUCUCUCCCUUCGUGCUCGUGCAUCGAAUCAACGAGUCUCUUCGGCGUUCGGCGACUUUGGCGUGCUUUGUCCCAACUCCCAAGGUAUCUUCCUCCAUCCUCCCUUCUUCGAUUCUUCCUCAGUUCCUCCUCUAGAUAUUCCUCCCUCCUUCGGUUCUUCAAAACCCUAGGUCUUCCUCCUCGAGAUAUUGCUCCGGGUGGUAGCAUAUCCUCCCUUCUUCGGUCUAGUGCUGAUUCAAUGUUUAACCCAGCAGCACUUAACAUUAUCGUAAGCUAAAGCAAGCAUAUGCUACCAGCCUACCACAAAAGUCCUUCAAAAUUUUAUUUUUGGGGUAUACGUGGCGGUAUACAUACUUAAGUGUGUUUUACUUUUUUUUUUUAGCUUUAUUUUCAGUUUUCUUAGUCACACUUCGAUGAUUUGGUGAUUUUUGAGUCAUUCUGGUGCUGGUAGAAGGACUCUUUUUGAUUUUAUAAGUAACUUUUAAGUUCUAAAAUACUUGGGCCUGCUGGUUAAACUCUCAUAUUAAUCCUGUUUCAAAUCUUAUGGUGAAUGGAUAUGAGAUCCCCAUUUCAGUAGAAUGCAUGUGUGUGCUUGUGCAUGCAUGCAACUGGGAUUUGAAGUGAUUCAAGUAUUACCCGUUGAAAAUAGAGAGACUCAACAUCUUAAGUAUUACCUGGGAUGCGAAGUGGUAUUUGAAACUUCCAUCUCUGUAUUUUUUUCUUAUUUGCAGGAAAAUUACCUUGGAUCUGCCCAUGUGAGGCAAUUUAUCUGUUUUGUGUUAACAGUUCAUGUUCUUGGUGUGAUAGGUUCUUCUUCAUCUCCUAACUUGUGCCAUUCUUCUGUUCAUUCUGUCUUGCCCCGGUCUCGAGGUUAUACCUGUCAUUUUUCUGAUAAUAGCCAAGCCAGUUUGUACCUGUAAUGAAAUCCUAGCAAUAGGUUUUAGAAGAAGGUAUUGACACCUCAAAGAGAACCUAGACAGAAAGCAUCUUUGGCCAAUGUCUGAUAGGUUGAUGGACCAUCCUUUUAGGCCAUUAGCUGGCACUGGAAUUUAGGUGGUUAAGUUAAAUCCAAUAUCUGACUUAUACAUUGUUAUGAAACUGUUUUUUUUUUGUUUUUUGUUUUCAUCAUAUUAGUUGCAUGUCAUGCUUAUACAUCUUUAUGGAAUUCUAUGCAAAAUAGGUUAAUGUCUAUGAUGGAAAGCAAUGAAAACACAGCUGAAGUUUCAAGUGCACGUCGUGGCAGUACUUCUCAAGCUACAGAGCCCUAAAAUACAGAUAGCUCCAAAGCGACAAAAAAGGGAGGUCGGAGAUACAGAAUCAUUAUAGUGAGGUAGAAAACGAAAAAGAUAAGGCUAAAUGCAAUUAUUGCCAUUUUAUUUUUUCAGCCGAUCCUAAAAAUGGGACAAGUCAUCUUCACAACAUACAAAGAAUUGUAAGACAAAAAAAUAUCUUGAUAGGAGACAAAAACAAUUAAUAGGCACAGUGACUUAAAAAGAUGGUGUUGCAUUGAAUGAUUUUCUCUAUUCAUUUGAUCAAGAAAGAAGCCGUGAGGACCUUGCAAGAAUGAUAAUUCUACAAGAGUUGCCAUUUACAACAGUUGAACAUCCAGCUCUUCAGAUGUUUAUUAAUAUGCUUUUUAAGUUUUCAAUCAUUAGUGAUGUAAUGUGCAGUGAGACACAUGUAUCCCAAUGUCUGAUUUGAUGUCCACAUGUCAGAUGUUAAGCUGAUUCUUCCAUAGUUUGUCAUGAACAAAUCUUCAAGUCUUCAUUUUUUUCUUUUCAUAUAUUUUAAAGCAAUUAGAACCAAUGUUGUCGUUGAAACAAUAUGAAAUUCUGGUCUAAGAUUCCUAACAAACAUCUGAAAAGCUGGAUGUUCAACUGUUGUAAAUGGCAACUCUUGUAGAAUUACCAUUCUUGUGAAGUCCUUACGGCUUAUUUCUUGAUCAAAUGAAUAGGGAGUUAACUCAUUCAAUGCAACACCAUCUUUUGAAGUCACAAUGCCUAUUAAUUAUUUCUAUCUCCUAUCUAGAUUUUUUUUGUCUAACAGUUCUUUGUAUGUUUGUGAAGAUGACUUGUCCCAUUUUUAGAAUCGGCUGAAAAAAUAAAAUGGCAAUAAUUGCAUUUAGCCUUGUCUUUUUGGUUUUCUACCUCACUAUAAUAAUUUCAUAUCUCCGACCUCCUUUUUUUUUUUGUUUGCUUUAGAGCUAUCCGUAUUAUAGGGCUCAUCAAUUUUUUUAUACUUUCAUCGCAGAAAUCUUCGCAUGGUUGUUGUGAGAACAUGAUAUAUAUGUAUAUGUCAGAAGAUUCUUUGUAAGUGUUCAACAAUCUAUUUUACCAGUCGAAUGAUUUUCAUGUUAUCCAUUAUAACUUGGAUAUCAGAUGGUAAUAUAAUCUUAUUUUUUAUUUUUUUAGUAAUUUUUGCUUUGUUUUAUCUCCAAUGCCUUCUCCUGCAACUCUGCUAUAUUUGAGGAAGCAUUGUCAGUGGGCUUCUGCUGAGGAGGUACCGAAGCUUGACCAUAUUGAGGUAUGUCCCAAAGCAAUGGAGCUGACUCACCAAAUUGCAAAGAGAAGUUCAGAUGUUCGUCAGGUUAUAAUAAUUGUUUAUGGGGAAAAUGGGAUUUUUUCAGGCAGUCUACAGAUUAGUAUUUUCUUUGAUGAGGUUUAUAAUGUCCAAACACUCCUGGUCCUUCCUACUAAUACUUGGUCCUCAGCUGAGGUAGAUGAGUUUAGUUUUUGUAGAGGAAUGCGGCCUGUCUUUAAUUAGUCUUUGGUAAUUGUGCAUCAACCCACCCGCCCUGAAUAUUACUCGGCACCAUAAAUUUUUAGUUUCUACCUAAUAUUGAGGUUGCUUUAAGCUUAUCUUAAAUAGAUUGAAGAAAUUUGUUCACCAUCUUUAUGUUUUCUUGGAUGGUUUUUCACUAUUAUCAUCACUCCUGCUUCUUACGGACCUGGUCACCUUCGGCCUAGCAGCAGCUCUUCUUUACACUUAGCAAUACUAUAUGAGGUAUGCCACUAGCAUAGGGUGUCAUUUUAAAAGCUCAACUUGUUCUUGGAUGAAAUUUUGGCAAUUCAACAGUUUUUGCAUCUUUUGGAAUUAUUGGAUUCAUAUUUCUUGUUUUAUGACUUUUGUUUUUCUUUUCGCCCCCUCACUUCUUUCUUAUCUUUUGCUUAUGAGAUUUAUCUUUCAUGUCUGGAGAGAAUCAUCUGUUUCACAUCUUGAUUUCACAUCUGUAGGCUUUUCGGAAGCAUGAAUUUCUGAACAUACCAUACAGUCCUGGUUUAGCUGAUCCAAGUGCGUAUGUUGAUUUUGCUUCUAUCAGGCAUUCUGCUGAAGAAGUUUCAGAACAUAUAUCAGUUUACGAUCCAAUUACUCAAUCCUGGUUCUUGGGUUUUCGUCGUAUAAACUUCGGUGUAGAAGCCCUAUUACAGGAAGAGAAAGUGGAGGCCCAAAAGACAGGCUAUUGCUGACUGGUCAGGGAUGGCGAGGCUCCAUUUUGGGAGGGAUCUGAUGAGCAGAAACCUAUAUUGGUGCGGGUGAUUGAAAGGAUUUUUUGCAUAGAUAUCCUUCUAAAUAUCAGAUUUUGCGUGAAUACCCUUUGAAAAUUGGUAUUUGCAUGUAUACCCUUAUAAAAUUUUGUUAUUGUACAAAUAUUUUUUGUUCUAAUGGUGUUAAAAAUUAUAUUUUAUUAAUUAAAAAUAAAAUGAAAAUAUAUUUUU